CAGAAGGAUGUUAUGUUAGCUAGCUGGCUAUGACUUUCCAACACUGGAACUCUUCCAAGUCAAGGGUCUUCUGACUGGGGAUCUUCUUUCCUCUCAUCUGAGAACACACCCACAACACCUGCAUCGCCAACCAGUAGCCUGAGGAGAGGGAAAUGACAUCACAAUAGUCCACAUCACCAAUAAGACGGCUAAUAAUUAAUAUCCCAGUCAGUCAUGAGUGACAGGGUGAGAAGAAAAAAAAAAAAAAAAAAACCACACCCUUUUGUAGUUUCCAGUGAGAGGAGCAGCAACACACACACACACAAAAAACCCUUCCCGUACCGAGUGACAGUGUGAGCAGCAGCAUGCUGAGACUGGGCAGGUCCAGGGCAGGCUGUUGGUUGACCUCAGCCACAGCGUUGAGCGGGACCGUGAAGAGCAGCAUGGCUCGGGAGAAGGACGGACAGCGCAGGAACGUCAGUACCACCGCACACAGCAGGAAGUACCCAGCAUGCACCACACACGUCCACACCGCAGCCAGACUUAGACCUGCUGGACAGAAACAUGGAGGGAAAUUUCCUGAAAAAUGUGUGUAGCUGAUGAAGGAACUAAGAUUAAAAUGUUAAUUCUCACUGCAAAAGAUGAUCUGUUGACCUUUGCAAUAAAAAUGCAUCUGGUGGUCUAAA